CUCUCCUCUUUCUCCCGUUGAAUCUCCAUCUGUAGCUCCUCCGUUAGCAUGGCACGAACCUGGCUCAUACGAAAGAAUAAGUCAACAGGGCACAAACAUUCUCUGUGGAGAGAGAUGAGGAGAUUGCAUUGAUGUUGAUAACGAUGGGUGCAGCCUACCACUGUCUGAAGAAGUCCCACAUAAGCUAAUGUUAAGGAAGUCACACUGCUUGCUUAGCGAGGUCCGUUUCCUCCUGAUUCGGCUCAUACCAAGGCUGGAACCCAGGACCUCUGCCUUGCUAACACCCCUGACCACCUUCCAGAAGCAUCUUACCCUGUUGCGCCACCUAAAAGCUAGCUAUUCGGCAGCACAAGUAGAGACAUUUCAGGCUGAGGAGUGAGUAUCACACAUCGCCAUCUCCUACAUUCACCCCCCAAACCCACUCCACAGCGACCCCAUCAUUGAGCUGAGCCCAACUGAUGAUCCGGAACACGGCACCAUUGUAAAAGACGUCACGCUGCUUGGUUAGCGGGUACAGCUUCCUCCCGAUUCACUCAUACCGAGGCUCGAACCCAGGACCUCUGCCUCGCUAUCACACGUAACCGCCCUCUCGAAGGGUCUUAUAUAGUCGCACCACUGAAAAAGUAGCUAUUCAGCAGCGCAAGUGGAGGCACUUCAGGCUAAGGAGUGAGUUUCACAGAUUGCCAUCUGCUACACUAACUUAUUUUUCCAAUUCAUUUCUGCAUAGAUAAAUGGCAAAAAUGCAUGCUCACCUGAAGAUGCAAAAUGACAAUAUUGAGGAUAAAGUGUUUGAAACAUUCAAACAUUCACUAAAGUUUAACUUUGAGUGAAACAAAUGUAUAAAUGACAACCAAUAUUUCCUCCUCAUCACGCCUUUAAUAAACAUCUCUACUGAUAUGUA